GACGAACGCUGGCGGCGUGCCUAACACAUGCAAGUCGAGCGAACAGACGAGGAGUUUGCGCCUCCGACGUAAGCGGCGGACGGGUGAGUAACAUGUGGACAACCUAGCUAUAAGACUGGGAGAAUAUUGGGAAAUAGGAGCUAAUAGGGGAAAAUAUAUCGAACCGAAUGGAUCACUAGUGAAAGACGGUAUUGGGGGCAGUAAUGGAUGGAUACGCGUCGCAUUAGUAAGUUGGUGAGGUAAAGGCUUAGCAAGGCAAGGAGGCGUAGCCGACCCGAGAGCGUGGUCGCACAGACUGGUACUGAGACACGGUACAGACUCCUACGGUAGGACGCAGUCGGGACUCUUCCGCGAUGGGCGAGUGCCUGACCGUGCACCGCCGCGUGAGUGAUGAAGUACCUCGGAUCGUAAAACUCUGUUAGUAGUAAAGAACAAAUGUGUUAGUAACUAUGCACAUAUUGACGGUACCUACACAGAAAGCCACGGCUAACUACGUG
rnacentral:rRNA from 1 species